rnacentral:misc_RNA from 1 species
GUUGAACGUAUCAAUCGUCGGUCGUCCGAAUAAUGCCGACGCAUUGGAUCGUCGAGGCGCGGGUGAACGAUACCCGAAAGGGGGUUCGAGCGGCGGCCUAGCGGCCGUCGUCUCGAGCUGCUCGCGCCUCGUCGUCCGAAGGACAGAAGGGACCGCGCGACCACGCCGGCCGUACGUCCGAAGUCCGCUGGCGGACGGGGACGGCGACUCGGAGGAACCGAUCGGCCGUCGCCCGCCGUGGCGGCUCGGUCGGCGUGGAAGCGAAGGACCCAGCGCACACGAAGCUCUAUCGGCGGGCUGCUGCACACGCGGCGGCCCCCGCASACUU